AAGACACUGUGUAAAUUCUUGGGCUUAAUUCACUAAACUGGGAAUUGCAGAAAACUGUCAAGAGAAUUGCAAAUUAUACACCAAACUCUGUGAGCUGGAGUAAUGGCAGAGUGGGGGAGUUCUUCCAAUUUGUAAUGCACUGUAAUUCUUGUCACCAGUUCUCAGUUUAGGUAAUAACUCGGGAAGAAAAAAACUCACUAAGCCAUGCACCAAAACCACCCCAUCUCUUACAGCCAGGAGAAUCAGGCCCAAAAUGGCCAUCAGACAAACUUGGCAACCCAGGUGGGCCGCAAUGGCCAAGGCGACAGAUCUCCCCAGCCGGCCCCUUCAGACCUGUUACUCCCCGGCGUCGGCACAAACUGGGGGCUCUUCGAUUGGUGGGAAAAUCAAAGAUCUCUCACCGGCCAGCACAGUGCAAUGCCAGCAUCCAGGGAGCUUUUGGUCUGCACCCCACAGUGAGUGCAGACCGUGUGAGUCAAUCGAGUGAAUCAAAGUGUUGUCACUGUAAUGUAAUCAAAUUGAAUACAUUUUAUCAACCAACAAAACCACUAUUAUUGCAACUCCAUUUUUUACAUUCUUAAUGGACAAAAUUGAUAUGAUUGCUGUGCCAUAUUCAAUAUGGUAGCAUACAAC